UCCGACUUGACUGCGCUGAGAAAAGUAACAAGCAGCACGUGACCUGGCUGUUCUUUCAGCAGUAGUUGGAAUAAAAAUUUACACCAGAGUAAUGAUUUUGAGAAACUUUAAAAGCUAUUAAAAUCAAACAUACCCAGUGAAAAAAAAAAGUUAAAAUUAAACGUUUAAUUUGUAUAUUCACAUACCUGACCAAUCAGGGCACUACGCCUCACUUCCGUAAUAAUUCCAUUCAAAGCUUUUUUUUCUACUCUAGUUUCGUUUUCUAUCGCUAUGGCGGGAAUUUAGAACGGCGCACGAGGGAACGGUCUCCACGGUAACCAUCUAAGCCGGAAGUGCUGGGCUCACUCGAGCAACAACAACAGAUAAAAACAAAUGAAAUCUGGGGUGUAUUCCAAAAAGCAGGUUGUGUGACAUACCCAGUUUGCAGAUGGCACAGGAGACCACAGGACACUUUGAGGCUGAGCAAUCCCACAAUGCAGUGCUGCUGAGAGUGGAUGAGAUGGAGAGAGUGGUAGAGAGGGAGAGAAGACAGGGAGGCUCUGAAGGCAGAUCAUGGCAAACUGCAGCAGAGUUCCACCGUUUCCCUGGAGACGGCUGUCAAUCAUCAGCAGAUGCUGGAACGCAGCAUCCAGAGGCUUCAGGGGGAGCUCAGCUGUGCCGUGAAAGAUGGAGAGACCCUGAGAGAAGAGAGAGAUCGGAUAAAGAGGAAGAUGAACUCUGCAGUCAUUUUGCUGAAAACACAGCUGUCAGAGAUCAAGGUGGAGUUGUGCAUGGUGAACUCAGCACUGCAGAAACAGAAGGAGGACAACAAGGAGCUGAUGGAGAGCCUUGCAGCCUUGGAGCAUCAGCAGGUAACUCAUCGUCAGAUUGAACAGAUGCUUUGGGACUUGACAGACAGCGAGAACAAACUGGCCUACGAGAAGGGCAAGCUGCAGGUCUGAUUCACACAGACACACACGUUGCAUGUAUAUGGAUUUAUUGCACACAUUUUGCACAGUGUGACAUACAAUGAUGCUUGAACAGUCAUAUGAUGAACACACACAUCAUAUGUCAGAAACACACACCAGGCUUCAAAUGAAUAGAGUGUGUGUGUGUGUGUGUGUGGUUAUGUGUUUUUAAGAAAUUAAUACUUUUAUUCGGUAAGGAUACAAUAAAUUGAUCUAAAUGAAAGAACACACACACACACACACACACACACACACACACACACACACAUACUCUAACAACCACUUUCACAAGCUCUGUGCCGUUCAGGUGCAGAAAAGCAACUGAAACUGGUCAAAUUUUAACACUGUUUAUUGAUUAAAGGGUUCAGAUAGUUUGCUGUACUUCCUCUCCAGUCCAAAAAGACAAUCUAUUAUAAAUAAACUAAAUAAUUAAUGUACUAAGCAACAAAACUGCUUCAUUUAAAAACCACAAGAUUUCUGUAGUGCUGAGCCAGUAUUACAGUUCUGCCUGAUGAGCCAAAAAUUACUGUCUAGAUAUGACUGAUUUUAAAAUUAAAUUAAGAAA
rnacentral:lncRNA from 1 species